AACGAACGCUGGCGGCAUGCCUAACACAUGCAAGUCGAGCGAGACCUUCGGGUCUGGUCGCGCACGCGUGCGUAGCGCGUUGGAACCUGCCCUUGGGUUCGCCAUAACGCCCCGGAUGGGGUCCUAAUACCGGCUAUUGUCUCCCAUCCAAAGUUUUAGCGCCUUUGGAGGGGCCUCCGUGGGAUUGGAUUGUUGGUAGCGUAAAAGCCUACCAAGGCUAGGUUCCAUAGCUGGUAUGAGAGGAUGAUCACCCACACUGGGAGUGAGACACGGCCCAGACUAUUACGGGAGGCAGCAGUGGGGAAUAUUGGAAAAUGGGGGAAAGGAUGAACGAGCAAUGACGGGUGAGUGAUGAAGGCCUGAGGGUUGUAAAGCUAUUUUAUCCGGGAUGAUAAUGACAGUACCGGGAGAAUAAGCACCGGCUAACUCCGUG
rnacentral:rRNA from 1 species